CUUCCUUCCUUCCUUCAUCCACAUUUCCUUCCUUUUUUUCCUGUUUCUUGCUAAUGCUGUUGGACCACUUGCCUUACUCCCUGAACUCCGUGGCCACAGUCAAAUGGAGAUGCUAUUACUUAAAAGCAAGCACAUCAAGAAUGCACAUGUACCUGCUCCAGGCAAUUUGCACACUGAGUUGCCUUUAUCCCUCUACAGUUGCAAGCACAAUGGCAGACAGACUUCUACCACAGAAUACUGUGUGAGUUUGUGUCUCAUCUGUGCAUUUUUUUCUUCCAUUAUUUAGCUGGAUUUAGCACCAAGUAACUACUCUUUAGAUAAAAUCCUCCUGAUAAUUUAUAUGAUAAUACAAAGUAGAGCCUAUUUCAGAUUGCUUAAUGCUUUGUCUUUAGAGCAUGUCUUUCUUCAGAAGUGCUUAAAGCCUUGGAAGUUAAUAUUCACAACAUCUUUGUGAAGUGGGUAGGAAGCUGUGGGAGAAGAGACUGGAAUUCCAGAAAGCAGAAAAACUUAUUCCAAAUCUCAAAGUAGAUCACCUCAGUCUGUCACUUGAAUCACAGCCUUUGCUCCAGACCAUCUGUAAGUAAGCAAAGCAACUUACCUCUCAUAGGGUGAUAAAGGUUCAAAUAAAGUCAGGUUGCUUCACAGGCUGAUAUAAAGUUAAUACAGAUCCCCGCCCCAUCUUUCAGCGUAGGAAAGCUAUCAUGAGCCCAGCCUUGGAAAAUCCCUGUGGAUGUGUGCACUGAUGGUUGUAAAGAAAACUAGAGUCAUUCUGCCCCGCAGAAAAAGAUGUGUGAGAAUUCAGUAAUGUAAAAAGAGCAAAUUUCAAAGAACAAUGCACCGAAUCUCUCCUCUCCUGCACACAUAAAUAUUUUCAAAUAAAGAAGACUCCAGGUUUUGAGAAAAACAACAAAGGGAGAAAUAAGACCCUUAGCAACAAAGAAAUAAGACACCAGUGUUCCCGGCUGCUCUCUGCAUCUGAACAUACUGCAUAUUUAAAGAGCUGCUCUAAAGUAAUACAUCUGAUGCUUAGCAACUGUGUCAGAAUCCAUACACUCAAAUCGGUGCUUUCUUUCCUCAAAGAAGGCAUCUUUGGGAUGUGGUGCAUCUACUUCAAUGUCACUUUGUCACCAAUAAAAAUAUCUAGGGGGGAGAGGGAGGUGGCUAUUUUGAGUGUCUUCGUGGUUUUAGGAAGACACUUCCCAAUGUCUUCACAAGUCUGUCCCUCCAGGAACUAAAUUACUUCAAUUACUCCCUUGACAUUUAUUGCUAGGCCUUGGGCUUGAUAUCUUCAGUCCCUUCUUACUCCAAGUCUCAGCUCAAUCUGGAUCCUCGGAGUUAUUAAAAAAGGUUUUUAUUUAUAUUUUUUACUUUUAUUUGUGUGUGUGUGAGAGAGAGACUCUGCUGUGUAUGUGUAAGUAGGUGCCCAAGGGGGCCAUAAGAGGGCAUGGACCCACACAUGCCCCACCCACACCUGGAGUUACAGGUGGUUGUGAGCUGCGGGACCCAACUCAGAGCACACAGAAGAGCAGCAGCACGCUCAGUGGAGCCAUCUCCGCAGUCUACCCUGUGUUUUUAUUUUCCUUCUUCAUUGUCCCAUACUACGUGUACAUAUUUAUGGAGGAAAGCGUGUGAUGAUCCAGUUGGCUAUCACAAUUCAUAAUGAUCAAAUAUGGUUAUUUAAAUUUCUACCCUUACAUGUUUGUCAUCUGCUGUCAGAAUCUUCAGUAUUCCCCCUCUGUUCUUUAUAAAAACAAUAAACAAUAAAUGGUAAAGUAAAGCUACCCUUCUGUGUUCCGAAGUACUCGCAUGUGGAGUUCAAACAAUGUAGCUAGCUAGGGCUUGGGAGAUGGCUUAUUAGGUGCAGCGUUUGCCUUACAAAGUACAAAGUGCCGAGCUUAGGUCCCUGGCACUCAAGUAAAACGUGAGUCACUGUAGCUUGUACAUAUAGCCCCAGUGCUUAGACAAGGGGCAGAGACAGCAGGACUCAUGAGGCUUGCUCUCAGCCAUUCUAGCCAAAUUGGUGAGCCCCAGGUUCAGUGAGAGAGCUUGGUUAAAAAAUAAGGUGAUGUGGUGUUUGGAUAUGCUUGGCUUAAGAGGAGCUGCACUGUUAGGAGGUGUGGCCUUAUGGAGAAGGCGUGGCCUUACUAGUGUCACUGUGGAGGUGGGGUUUUGAGAUCUCAUAUAUAUGCUCAAGGCUGGCCAGUGUGAUCCAGAGCUACCUCCUUGCUGCCUGCAGAAGACAGUCUCCUCCUGGCUGCCUUUGGAUCAAGAUGUAGAACUCUCAGCUCUUCCAGCACCAUGUCUGCCUGCAUGCUGCUAUGCUUUCUGAAAGGAUGAUAAUGGACUGAACCUCUGAAACUGUAAGCCAGCUCCAAUUAAGUGUUUUCCUUUAUAAGAGUUGCCUUGGUCAUGGUGUCCCUUCACAGCAAUGAAACCCUAACUGAGACAGGUAGGAAGCAAUUGAGGAAGGCAUCUGAUGUCCAUCUGUGGUCCACCUGUAUGUCUGCACACAUGUGCAAAGACACAUAGUAGUUAUCCAGGUGUGGUGCUGCACACCUGGGAAUCCCAGCACGUGGGAGUUAGGCAAGAGGAUUUGCAGUUCAAGACUACCCCUAGCUGUGUAGAGAGAUCGAGGUUAGCCUGGACUUUUGAGCUUCUGUCUCAAAAAACGAAUGAACAAAUGAACAAACAAACAAAACAAAACAAGAAAACCUCAAAAGCAUCACCAAUCCCACCCCCAAUAACAGAAUGUGCUGACAUCUUUAUUUUAAAUCUUUUGUAGGAGAAGCUCACUUAUGCUUGAUGUAUCUCCAACAGCUUUAAAGUGUUUGCAUCAUGAAAGAACAAGUACACCUAGCUCAGGCUUUCCCACUGGCAGGGAGAAAACAGAAAAGGCAACAUGUUGAAGCUUUCUAGCUGUGUCCUGGAAAUCUUAAAAAGGAAGCCAAUUUCAAAAGGCACAAGAAGGAUUUAUGAUUUCAGGAACGUCUCAUGUGAGAUGGUGCUGUCCACAUUCAGAGCAGAUCUUCUUUAGUCAAUCAUCUGUAGACGAUCCUCAGACAAGCCUAGAAGUGUGUUCUGCAAGGCAUGUCAGCACUCCUCAAUCCAAGUUGGUGACUUUAUGAUACAACCACCU
rnacentral:lncRNA from 1 species